rnacentral:lncRNA from 1 species
GUUUCUUCUCUUUUUUAUCAAGAGCUUCAGGUUAAAGGUUUUCAGAACUAAAGUGUGCUGGAAAUGUCUGAUGCAGCUCUUUGAGAAUGAGGUGUUGUUGGUCUUAAUCUGUGGUGAUGUGGUUUCAAAGCAGCCUGAUCAGCUGCAGCAUCCAAUCACAAACAGGACCAGGUGGAUUACUCACCUGAGGAUGGACCAGUACUGAGACAUGAAAUAAGGCUGCUGAGAUGGACCCUCUCUGUCUGUGUCCUCACAGUUUCCCAGCAUGCCUCAGCUGUGGACAUGUAUGAGGGGGACCACUUCCUGCUGCCCUGUGAGUUUCCCACUGUUAGACUGGACGACCCCACAGUGGUGUGGAGCCGCUACGAUCUCAGUCCUUCAACCGUCCACCAGCGUCAGCAGGAAGGUGAUGACCUUAAAAACCAAAACCAGCUCUACAGAGACCGAACAUCGAUGAGGACUGACGCUCUGGAAACUGGAGACCUGAGUCUGAACUUGACAAAACUGCAGCUGUUAGACAGUGGAACCUACACCUGCACCGUCAGAUCAGCUAGAUGGGGAGAAAAGAGAGUGACAGAGGUCCAGCUGCAGGUCAAAGAAUGAUUUCCAUCCUGGGCCAAAGCUCUCCUGGUUCUCCUGGUUCUUCUUCUUGUUACUGGGGGUCUUUUAGUACAUUUCCGUCAGUACUUCAUGUCAGGUACGUCACUACUACUACAUUACCCAUAAAGUCAACAUCAACAAAGACUCUCAGUCAUUGAGGUCAUGUUGUUAGUCUCAACUGGACUUGUUUUAAGCUCUUGAAGACUUUUCUCCUUCUGCCCAGAAGCUUCAUCAGUUCUGACUGACUGGCUGCACAAAGCAGACCUGUAAUGAGUUCAGUUCAAUUUAUUUACACAGCGCCAAAUCUAAAUAAAACUAUCUAAAGGCACUUCACAAAAAAGAAAUUAACUUUAGAAACUCAUGGAGAGAACCCAACAAUCCCACUUCUCUCACUGGGUCACAGUGGAGAUCAUGAUGUUUCCACCACCAUGAUGAUAUGCAGUGACCUUUUUUUACUCCAGAUGUAGUGCUGUGUGUUCAAAUAGUUUAGUUCCAGUGAUGCCUUUAAAUCUUUACCUGUCACUCUGAGUUGUUUCUUUACCUCAUUGAUGACUGUGUGUUUUGCUCUCGGCGUCAUUUUGACUCGUCGCCCACUUCUUGGUCGAGUGACCACAGUCCCAAAGUGUCUCCAUUUGUAGAUUGUUUAAUUGCAGACUGGUGAAUUUCAAAGUCUUUGACAUGACUUUGUAACCCUGUACAGCUUUAUGUAAAUCACUAAUUUGUGAUCA